GCCUGGGUGGCUCAGUCAGUUAAGCAUCUGACUUCAGCUCAGGUCAUGAUCAUGAUUUGUGGGUUCAAACCCCAUGUCAGGCU
rnacentral:tRNA from 1 species